rnacentral:rRNA from 1 species
CUACGUGCCAGCAGCCGCGGUAAUACGUAGGUGGCAAGCGUUGUCCGGAAUUAUUGGGCGUAAAGCGCGCGUAGGCGGAUAGGUCAGUCUGUCUUAAAAGUUCGGGGCUUAACCCCGUGAUGGGAUGGAAACUGCCAAUCUAGAGUAUCGGAGAGGAAAGUGGAAUUCCUAGUGUAGCGGUGAAAUGCGUAGAUAUUAGGAAGAACACCAGUGGCGAAGGCGACUUUCUGGACGAAAACUGACGCUGAGGCGCGAAAGCCAGGGGAGCGAACGGGAUUAGAUACCCCGGUAGUCCUGGCCGUAAACGAUGGGUACUAGGUGUAGGAGGUAUCGACCCCUUCUGUGCCGGAGUUAACGCAAUAAGUACCCCGCCUGGGGAGUACGACCGCAAGGUUGAAACUCAAAGGAAUUGACGGGGGCCCGCACAAGCGGUGGAGUAUGUGGUUUAAUUCGACGCAACGCGAAGAACCUUACCAGGUCUUGACAU